rfam:Rattus norvegicus chromosome 10, whole genome shotgun sequence.
GGGGAUUUAGCUCAGAGGUAGAGCGCUUGCCUAGGAAGCGCAAGGCCCUGGGUUCAGUCCCCA